CACUUUAAGCGAUGGAUCACUCGGCUCGCACGUCGAUGAAGAACGUAGCAAAAUAUGUGAACUAAUGUGAACUGCACAACGCUCUGAUCAUUGACACUUUGAACGCAAAUGGCGGCUAUGGGUC
rnacentral:rRNA from 1 species